rnacentral:rRNA from 1 species
ACGAACGCUGGCGGCGUGCUUAACACAUGCCAGUCGAACGGAAAGGCCCUGCUUUUGUGGGGUGCUCGAGUGGCGAACGGGUGAGUAACACGUGAGUAACCUGCCCUUGACUUUGGGAUAACUUCAGGAAACUGGGGCUAAUACCGGAUAGGAGCUCCUGCUGCAUGGUGGGGGUUAGAAAGUUUCGGCGGUUGGGGAUGGACUCGCGGCUUAUCAGCUUGUUGGUGGGGUAGUGGCUUACCAAGGCUUUGACGGGUAGCCGGCCUGAGAGGGUGACCGGCCACAUUGGGACUGAGAUACGGCCCAGACUCCUACGGGAGGCAGCAGUGGGGAAUAUUGCACAAUGGGCGGAAGCCUGAUGCAGCAACGCCGCGUGCGGGAUGACGGCCUUCGGGUUGUAAACCGCUUUCGCCUGUGACGAAGCGUGAGUGACGGUAAUGGGUAAAGAAGCACCGGCUAACUACGUG